rnacentral:lncRNA from 1 species
UCUCCCCCCCUCUCUCUCUUCUACUCUUGUUCUCCCUCCAUCCUCUCUUUAGAGUCACUUCGGGCCUAGUAUAGAAUAGUACAAGGACAUAUCAAACCAUACCACCGAUCGAUCAAUCUAAGUUUUGAUACCGAUAUAGCAAACCUUGAUGCCAAUAGUAUAUACAAAAUAUGUUGAAUAUCAAAUGAAUUAUGAAGAAUGGAUGACCUCAACAAAGCC